GUCUCCUCCAGCUCACUGCAGGCCCAACCCUUGCAGAGGCCAAGUUUCCUGAGCAGAGAAAAGCUAACUCAGAUCAAAAACCUAGGACUUUCAAAACGUGGCAUACAGGAGAAGGACGGAGGGAACCGAGGCGCGCAAAUGCUGAAUGCUGCUCUCAUUUAUUUCCGCCAUUUGGGGAAAUUUUGAUUAGCCACCUUUUCCCUUCCCUGAUUUAAAUGCGGGGAAAUGUUUUUAAAUGCUUCAGCUCUGGGGGAUACUCUGGGUGGAAGGUAAUAACAUCACGGGGUGAGUGGGGGAAAGGCAGCCCUGUCACCUCUCCCCAAGCCCCCACCCACGCGCCCUGUUUCUGCCAAGGUGAACAUAGCUGCCCAGAUUCCCUUAGUCACCCCUGAGCGGUACGGAUCGGCCUGCCGGCCCGCAGAAUUCCGGAGUCUGCUGCCUUCUGGUUGCUAAGAGCAUCAGGUGACACCUCCACCUGCCAUUGCCCGCCCCAGCCCGGAUGAAUGUCCUCGGCGACCUUUAAUGCUUGCAUUUUAAUCAGUAAUAGCAUUUUGGAGAGGAAGACCCUCCCACUUUCCGAGUUUGCAGGCACUCGGGGCUGCCCUCCAGCGCCACGCCACGGGGCAGGAGAGCGUUUCCUCCGCUCUGUGCUCCCGGCACGUCCAGGCGCAAAGGCACGCACGCACUAGCAGCCGUUGUCCCAGGAGCCUUGGGAGAGGCUCUGGCCUUGCCUAACAGGGGCCGGCGUCUUCCUCGCGGGUCCGACCGGUUCCCGGCUGGCUGACCCAGAUCACUGCCGGGAGCCCCGAUCUAGCCUGCGUCCGGGCAGGCAGUCGCGUGUCACCCGAGGGCAUUCCGGCUGUCAGAGUUUGCGCGUGCGCAGAAAAGGGCUGCGUCGGCUCCGGGCUGUUGGAGGGCGGCGGGCCAGAACGCAUGCGUCAGCUGAAUCGCUCGAGCUGCCCCCCCCCCCCCCCGAGAACCGGGCUUCCCGGGUCCUUCUGUCCCUCCUGUUCUUGACAGCACGCUGGAGACACUGCACCGCUGGAAGAGAAUCACGGGAUGUUCAAGGAACAACCUGUAAAAUGAAAGCCCUCAGGUGCCGUCGCGGUCUUGACAGUUCUUCAGAAGAAAGCACCUCCUGCCUGUGCUGUGCAGUCCUGGUGCAGACCAAAGCCCAGUUGACCUCCUACCCCAGCCAAGGAGAUGUCCAUGCUGGCAUGGCCAAGCACUGCCCAGUGCCAGCCUCCUGGGAGCUCAGUCAUCUUCGUGGUCAGCAAACACUGUCUGCAUCACAGGUGGACAGCUGAGAAGGAGGGAGAGACCUACACAGAGAGUAAGUAAAAGCAUGCCAAGGAGUGACUUUCCAUACGCGAGCACAUUCUCCUGGGUGUCUGCAGCCUUGGAGAUAAAGGCGGUGAGUGUGGGCAGAUGGAGGCCCCUGGGAGACUCCCGGCAUCUCAGGUGCCCACCCACAGGUCCGGUUUCCAUGCCCUGUUCCUCUCCUCCUUCCCCAGAAUUGGCUUUUUGGCCUACACAGGUAUUUUCCUUCCCGAGAGCUGCUGAGGACCCAGAGCAUCCUCGGUUAUCUGCUCCCCGGUCUGGCUGGCUCCUCGCUGGGCUCUGACCUCACCUCUGGCGUCAGCCUUAUCAGGUGUGGACAGAAUCGUCUCCCCUGUUCUGGGAGCGCCAAGCCCAAGAUUCUCCUCCCAUCCAGGCCCCUUUCUGCUGCAGAGGAGAGCCAGGCCCCUCUGGACUAAACAUGUGGUCAUCUGUCAAAUUAGGAGUGACCCCAGGGGUCUGCAAGUAGAGCUGCAAGGCCCAGAAUUGGAGCAGAAGAAUCACAGCUGUGUGGUUCCCAGAAGCUUCGCACACCAGCGUUCACAUCCUGGGGCUUGGAUGAGAGGCAACAGUUGGACCACCUCGCACCGUGGAGAUGGCCGGUCAGAAGGUCACAGGCACCCAGUGGGCCAGGCCUUGGCCUGAGGUGGUAAGGAGCCGGGUGGGCUGGCAAACCCAUGAGGGCUCGUGCCUGGGACUGGUGGCUGCACCUUUGUCAACAAAAGAGAUGAACAGAAACACAGUGGGACUAGGUGACCUGGAGAAAAGGGAAGCCCAAGGGACAGACACUCUUCCUUCCCUCCAGGUUAGUUUCCUUGUGCAGCCCCACUGUGCUCAGACCCCGUGAGCCACAGCUAAGAAUUCAUCCUUCAGAAACACACGUCGUGAAGGUCGUUCAGUGUUCAUGCAGUGUUGCACGAAGUAGCAGAGACUGGGAGCAAUCUAAACACCCAUCAGUAAAGGACUGAUUAAAUAAUUUAUGGUCCGCGCAUGCAACAGCAUGUUAUAAAUGAAGCGCCUCACGUACUGACGGGGAGGAUCUUAGCAUACAUCGCCACGUCAGAUACCACGAGGUUCCAGACCUGUGUGAUAUCAUUUGCUUACAGGGUGGGGAAGGGAGAAGAAUACAUAUUUAUGUUCUUGUUUAUGAAUAAACGAUCUUCGGAAGAAUUCCCAAACUGAUAAUAUUGUAAUAGGUUAUU